rnacentral:rRNA from 1 species
AACGAACGCUGGCGGCAUGCCUAACACAUGCAAGUCGAACGAGGUAGCAAUACCUAGUGGCGCACGGGUGAGUAACACGUGGAUAAUCUGCCAUUCAGUGGGGAUAACUAUCCGAAAGGAUAGCUAAUACCGCAUGAGACCACAGUUCCUGCGGGAACAGAGGUUAAAGAUUAUCGCUGAAUGAUGAGUCUGCGUGAGAUUAGCUAGUUGGUGGGGUAACGGCCUACCAAGGCGACGAUCUCUAGCUGGUCUGAGAGGAUGGCCAGCCACACUGGAACUGAGACACGGUCCAGACUCCUACGGGAGGCAGCAGUAGGGAAUAUUGCGCAAUGGGGGAAACCCUAGACGCAGCGACGCCGCGUGAGUGACGAAGGCCUUAGGGUCGGUAAAGCUCUGUUGCAC